GGGGGUAUAGCUCGGUGGUGGGGCUUAUGCUUAUCAUGAGCGAGACCUUGGGUUCAAUCCCCAGUACCUCCA
rnacentral:tRNA from 1 species